rnacentral:snoRNA from 1 species
UGGUAACACUUCCAUGCACCACUUCUACAGUUUCUUACCAGGGAGGUUGCUCUGAACUUGUGGAGCACCGGAAACCACAAGGAGGAGGCUCAGCAUUCACUCCUGAGCACGAAGCUGGCUCUUGGUGGUGCUUUCUCGGCAGUUGCCUUUUGCCACUGAUGAUCACUCUUCUUUUCCUUUGGGAGAGUGAAAGGGAAAGGAUGCCAUCUGAAUGAU